UACGGGGGGAGCAAGCGUUGUUCGGAUUUACUGGGCGUAAAGGGCGCGUAGGCGGUCAGCACAAGUCAGUUGUGAAAUCUCCGGGCUUAACUCGGAAAGGUCAACUGAUACUGUGCGACUAGAGUGCAGAAGGGGCAACUGGAAUUCUCGGUGUAGCGGUGAAAUGCGUAGAUAUCGAGAGGAACACCUGCGGCGAAGGCGGGUUGCUGGGCUGACACUGACGCUGAUG
rnacentral:rRNA from 1 species